AAAUUGUUCGUUACUUCAGAUUAUACGAUUUUUGUAAUAAUGUUAAAUCGUUCUCAUGUGAUCUACAACUUACGAGGCUAAGUUGUGAAAGUAGUCAUCCUUACUUGCAUUAGAAUAAACUGUCUACAUCAUAUCUCUUUAUGUACAACUCUUCUUCAAACCCUGCAUGAACGCGAGAUGCUUUAUGCGCUAAACUGUCCCAAUAUUUUGAAAUACAAAUAACCAAAAUAAUAUGUUAUAAAUAUUAAACCUUAAUAUAAUAUUUCAAAAAAUACGUAAUAAUUUAAUGCCUGAAUAGGCCAACAGAAAUUAUAAGAGGCUUUAAAAAAUAUUUAGAAAUAGAUUCCCUAUUUCGCUUGACAAAACCAAAAAAAACACAAUCCGCACCCAUCAUAAAACAAUCACUCUCUACCGUAGAUCUCCAUAUAAUCAACGGCUCAAAUGCAGAUUCGCCUCUCUCACGGAUCGAUACUAAUAUCCGUCCGAUCAUCACUUUAAGCUCCAACACACCAACGGCCACGAUUUAAAUCAUCAGCUAUAUAUAUACACAGAACCCUCAAAGCCCCAAUCAUCAAAAUCCAAAUCAAGAGCAUUUCUUCUCUAAAAUUUAUUCAGAAAAAUGUCAGGCAGAGGUAAAGGAGGCAAAGGAUUGGGCAAAGGAGGAGCCAAGAGGCACAGAAAAGUGUUGAGAGACAAUAUCCAGGGAAUUACAAAGCCAGCUAUUCGAAGACUCGCUCGUAGAGGUGGUGUGAAGCGUAUUUCUGGGUUGAUUUACGAAGAGACUCGUGGGGUUUUGAAGAUCUUUUUGGAAAAUGUGAUUCGUGAUUCUGUAACUUACACAGAACACGCUAGGAGAAAGACGGUUACUGCUAUGGAUGUUGUUUAUGCACUUAAGAGGCAAGGAAGGACCCUUUACGGAUUUGGGGGUUAGGGUUUGUUGGUUUUUUUUUAUUUGUGCUUUGAUGGUGUAAUUCUCUGUUACAUAUUCAUGGAAUAGAAAUAUGCUUUAGUUAUUAAUUCUGAUUCUCUUCGUCUUCUUCACUCUUUGAAUGACAAUUUAAGCUAUUCAGAUCUGGAUAUUUCAUUAUAUGAGAAAUUGACAAUGUUGAAAUUAUGAAAAGGAUUAACAAUGUUAAAGAAAAUAAACUGAUAAUGACAAAGGUCUUAAAUUUUAAUUCAAAAAAGGUAAUGUUCCUUUUGGAACAAAAAAAUCAAUUAGAUUUUAAGCACCACUGUUAAUGUUUUGAUAUAUUAGAAAGUAUUUAUCAAUAUUAAAAUCUAUACUAAAAAAUAUUAUGCUUCUAUUUAUAUUAAUUGAACUUUUUUGAGUUUUUUUUAUUGCUCAAAAUAAUUGAAUUAUUUAUAGUUCAACAUGAAUCUGUUUAAGUUCUUUUUCAUAUUUGUUUUUUUUUUCUUUAAUGAAGCUUCAUGUAAUUUUUAAGAUUUAGAUUAUGUAUUUUUAAUAAGUAUUCUCUUCAUUUCACAAAGAAUGACCUCCUUUCCCCUUUUUAGUCAAUUUCAAAAAAAUGACCUAUUUCCUUUUUUUGUAAUAUUUUAUUUUUUGUUUUCCAUCAUGUUUAAGACUAUAAGAUUAAGGACAAUUUUGUAUAUUUGACAUAACUUUAAUUUAUGAUCACAAGAUUCAAAAAUCUUCUUUAAUUUCUUAAACUUUGUGGCAAGUCAAACUAGAUCAAUCUUUUUUGAAAUGGAGAGAGUAUGUAUUGUCUCAUUAAUUUAAUUAACAUAAAAUAAAGAGAAUAUAAAAUAAGUUAAAAAUUAAUCCAAACAUGCUUUAAAAAAAUGUCUUACAUAAAUUAAGAGAAAAAAUAUUUGGAAAAGAAGAUGGAAGAGGAGAUCAUAAUGAAGAUUUAAAUAGCAAACCAACUAAAAGCCACUAACAAAUACAGUAUACCCAUGUAUUUCCUUUUGUUUCUAUUUAUUGGUUUAUUUUUUAUUUGACAUAUUUAUUACGAAAAUAAUAAUUAAUGUAAUGAAUUUAUUAAUUAAUUCUUAUUAAUUAGGGAUGAUAAUGGAGUGGGGUGGUUUUAAGACUAUGCGGAGCGGGAUGAAUUUAAUAUUGUACAUGGUGGAUUCAAGUGGAUUUUUUAAAUUAAUGCGGGGGGACAAGUUGUGGGUAUAUAUAAUUUUAUGUGAGUUCAAACUUAAUUUCAAUUUUUUACAUGUUAUAAGUGUCCAUUUGGAUUGAUUUAUUUUAAGUACUUUUGAGCCAAAAUAGUUUUUAAGCAGUUUUGAAAUGUUUGAGUAAAGUUAAAAAGUGCUUAUAAGCACUUAUUUUAAACCCAAAAUAACAAAAAUAAGUCAAAAGUCAUAAGUUAGAAAUCCGAACUUAUGGCUUUUGACUUAUAAGUCAUAAGCCAAAAGCCAAUCCAAACAAGCCUUAAGAGUGAUAGAGUAUUAUUUAUUAAAAUAAUUUCUUUAAAAACUAUUAAAAUAUUUAAGAUAAUAAAUGAAAAAUGGUUCGAUAAAAAAUUCUUCCUAUAUUUUAAAAAGAAUCACCUACUUUCCUUUUAGUAUGUUUUAAAAAGAAUGGCUUCUUUUUGUUUUUGGUAAUAUUUUAAUUUCAGCUUUCUACGUGACAUAUUUAAUGCCACAAGAUUAUAUGACUAUUUUGUAUAUUCGAUAUAACUUUAAUUUAGGACAAUAAGAUUCAAAAGUUUUUUUAUUUUCUUAAACUUCGUGUCAAGUCAAACUAGGUCACUCUUUUUGAAACAGAAGGAGUAAUACAAUUUCUUACAUGUUUUCCAAGUGGACUACUAAUAAAUACUUAACUUUUUAAGUCACUAUCCUAUUAAAUAAUAAUACUUAAUGAAAAAAAUCAAUUUAUUUUAUAAAUUUUAUUUUUAAUAUCAAACUUAAAAAAGAAAAUAUUGGAAAAAUUAUACGGGGAAUGUGGGAGUUGGGACAAGUUGAAAAUGAAAAAAAGUUGUUAUGCAGGGUGGGAAGGAAUAUUUUGCCGAUUGAGCUAAAAUCGUCCCCCCCUCCCCCCCAUUGCCAUCCCUACUAUUAAUUGAUAGAAUCUCAAAAUCAAUUUAUUCAUUAAAGAAAUUCUAUCUUUUUCAAAAAUAUCAACUCUCUAAAUAAAUUAAGGGUGUAAUAGGUAAAAAAAAUAUUAUUUUUUCUUGAUUUGUCAAAAUUGACAAGUAAAAAGAGAUUCAAAAAUGUUAAAAUUGAACAAGUAAAAAGAGACGGAAUAAAUAAUUCACAUAGUGAUAUUUUCAAUACUUGUUCUCAAAAAUUAAAAUAAUUUAAGUGUUGUGAAAACAAAUUUUAUUCCUUUUGUUCAAUUAGAGUUGUCAAAAAGGGUCGGUCCAGUCCUAUCCGAUCCAAGCCUCGCGGACCAAAAAAUUUGAAGGGCUAGGGCGGGCCGGCCCUUCAUUUGUAAGGGCCUAAAAAUGUUCAAUCCAAUCCAACCCUAGAAGGACCGAGGGCUAGGGCAGGAUAACCUUUUUUUCUUCUUUACUUAUAUUCUAUAACAUCAAGAAAAUGAGAAGAUUUUCAAAUCAAAUAUGACAAAUAAUGGUGUUGUUUCAAUAACACUAGUAAAAAAUAUAGUGUAAUUAACAUGUAUCUCGCAUACCAGAUACACGAGCGAGAUAAAAGAAUGACAAGCAAGAUGGGAGGGGGGAGAGGGCGCGAGAUUUAUCUAUGUAUUCUAGGUACAUACGAAUCUACUUGGAUAUAGUGUAUCUAAAACAAAUUAACCUAAUUUUAGUCCAUAUAUUCCAAGAUACAUGUAUAUGAACGUACAAAAAUCUGGUAAGAUUCAUAAUAUUACAACAUAGCGUGUAUUUAAGUAAUUAUAUUAUAUGCUAGUGAGAUUAUUGUAAGUUACUCUUACAUAAAAUGUUUUGGUCCAUGGGCCGACUCCGAUCAAGCCUCAAGGGCAAAAUACUUAAAUGGGCUGAGCUUAUAAGCCAUAGUUUUAAAUGAGCUUGAAAAAUUCUAGGGGUGUACAAAAUCGAACCGAAAACCAAACCAAAUCGCAAAUCGAGAAAAAAAACCCCGACUAGUGGUUGGGUUGACUUGGUUUGGUAUUAAAAAAAAAACCCGACUAUAUUUGGGUUGGUUUGAUUUUAACUAGAGGCGAAUCCAGGAUUUCAAGAAGACGGGUGCACUAUUACUUUAAAGAUAAUAUCUAAAAUUGUAGGAAAAAUGGCCUAAUAUAGCCCUCAACUUUGUGAUUUAAAGUUGACAUUCACCUUGUUAUGAAAGUGACUUAUAUAUACCCCUAAUGUUACACAAAUGACUCACCUAUACUCUUUACCUCUAACGAAUGCAAAAAUUAAUUAAUAUAGGGGUAUAUUUGAUCCUUGUCGUAUAUUUUUUUUUAGAUUUUUUUAUUCAACGGCUAAUUUGAAUUUAUUAUUUUAAUGAUCAAAUUUAUUUUUUUUCACUAAUUUUAUUGUAAAAUUUAUUAUACAUGCCCAAAAAAAUUAUAGAUAUAAAAACUAAAUUUCAAUAUAGCCACAAAAAUAAUAACAUUUAAAUUCCAAUAUAGCCCAAAAAAAAAUUGUUCUAAAAUAUUUUCUUAAUUUUUUCACUUUUUCCAUUCACAGUUCUUUCUUUUGAUUUAGGUUUUACACUAAAGUGAACGAAAAAAUUAAGAAAUAAGAAUAAGAAACUCAAAAAAUGUGUGAAAAAGAUCAAAUAUACCCCUACAUAGAUUUUUAAUAACUAAAAUAAAAAUAAUAAAUUUAAAAUUAUUAUUUUUAUUUCUGUUAAAUUUCCAAAAUUUUAUAAAGACAAUAAAUUAGCGAGCUAAAGAGAAGACGUUUAAUUGAAUUAUAUUUUUCUUCUAUUUUUUUGCCUUGGCUAAUUAAAGUUGUAAAUGCCAUUUCUUUUAUUAAUUAAUAUAAUAAAAUAGACCUUACAAAAAAAUGGGCAAAUUGAGCGCUGGCUGGAUUCGAAUCAGCGACUACCAGCUCAAUAAUAAGCCCUCAGACCAGUGAACCAUCUAGUCAUUUUAAACAUAGGUUCCUUUAGGUAAUAUUUAAUAUAUUUUUAAGAAUUAUACAAAUGAUAUAUCGAGUUUAGCCGGAUGACCACGGAUUUCGGUGACUCAAAUUUGACACUUAAAUUCGCUCCUGGUUUUAACUAGAAAAACCAAUCCGAGACCAAACGAACCCGACAUUAUAUAUAUAUUUUUUAAAUUUUAUUUUAUACAUAAAAAUGUUUACUUUGAUAUAAUUUUUAAAUAUUUCUUAUACUUUUUCAUAGUUUUUAUCUUUUAAUAUAUUAUUUCAAGUUUGAAACUUAGAAUUUUGAAUGGUUCAAUAAAGAUUAUAGUCCAAAGAUGUUGGUAAUUAUAAUAAAGCUUAAAUCAAAAUCAAAUUAAUACUAAUGAAAAAAGAAAAUCAAUUCAACACUAAGAAUGACAAUAAUAUUGAAUAUUUGUUCUUUGGUUUUACAUUGGAUAAGACAAUUCAAAUACAUAAUCUAAUUUUAAUUUCCUUUAAUAUUUAGUCAUGUAAUUAAUACUUAUUAAACUUAUAUUAGCAUGAUUUAGUACUUUUAAAUUAUGAUCAUUUUCAUUAUGACUUGUUAAUUUGCAUUUUGCAAUAUUUGUUUUACUCAAUUUCAUUAGUAUUAUUAUUUUGCAUAUUUUAGUGUCAUUACUCAUAUCAUAUUAUGUGUUAUUUUCUUAAGCAACACCUUAGAUAGUUGUAUUUUGGUAUGAUUAAAGAAAUAUUUGAAGUACAAGUAAAUUAUAUGUUUGUAUGAAUACUUUACCCAAAAAAUCCGAAAAUCCGAAAAAACCCGAGGUUGAAAAAUCUGAGUUUUAUUGGUUUGGUUUGGUUUGGUUUAUAGAUUUAAAAAUUUGACACAAAUGGUUUGGUUUGAUAUUCGAAAAACCUCGAACCAACCCGGACAUGUACACCCCUAAACAAUCCUAUCCAACCCUACCCCAAUAAUGGGUUGGGUUGGUCGUCCCCAUGUGCUAAGCCCAUUUUGACGGUUCUAUGUUCAACAAUAGUUGUCCAUUAGUGACUUGAUACACGUCUUAAGAAGCAAUAAAUAAUAGGGAUAUUAUUAUUAUUGUUUUAUCCUUUGACUUUAUUAAAUUUAAUGUUUUGGAAAACGUGUUAAAUGAUAAAUAAUAUUCUUUCUGUCCAUUUUUAAUUGUCAUAUUGCGUUUUUCGAAGUUAAUUUGACUAAUUUUCAAAGUUAAAUUAGAUGACAUUAAUUUGAUAGUUUAAACAAAAAAUUAGAUAUUCAAAAACUAUAGAAAGAGUACUAUAAAUUUCAAGUUUUUACAUAUUAAUAUGAUGAAAAAAUACAUUGUAAAAUAUUAGUCAAAAUUAUUAUCGUUUUUCUCUAAAAAAAGGAAACUAUGACAAUUAAACGAAGAUAAUAUUUAAUAGAAAUGAUAAAAUAAAAGCAUCAAAUAAAUUAUCUCUUAAUUUUAAAUAUUGUUGAAUAGUAAUUAUUUUUAAUAUAUUUGACCAUUAUUAUUGAACAGAGGAAAUUAUAAGGCUUAGUAUAUUUUUUAGGAAUAAGAAAUGAUAGAUAAUGUGACCAAGCCAACAAGGUACUUACCUCGUUUCUCUCACCAAAAAAGCACAAUCCGCACACUAUCACUAAACAAUCACUCCUCACCAUAGAUCUCCAUUAAAUCAACGGUUCACAUACACUCUCCGCCUCUCACGCGGAUCGACUCUCAUAUCCGUCCGAUCAUCACCUUCAUCUCCAACACACUAACGGCCACGAUUUAAACCCCAAACAAACCAUCAGCUAUAUAUAACCACCAAAAUCACAAACCCCCAAUCAUCAAAAUCCAAAUCAAGAACAUUUCUUCUCUAAAAUUUCAUCAGAAAAAUGUCAGGCAGAGGUAAAGGAGGCAAAGGAUUGGGCAAAGGAGGAGCCAAGAGGCACAGGAAAGUAUUGAGAGACAAUAUCCAGGGAAUUACAAAGCCGGCUAUUCGAAGACUCGCUCGUAGAGGUGGUGUGAAGCGUAUUUCUGGGUUGAUUUACGAAGAGACUCGUGGGGUUCUGAAGAUCUUUUUGGAAAAUGUGAUUCGUGAUUCUGUGACUUACACAGAGCACGCUAGGAGAAAGACGGUUACUGCUAUGGAUGUUGUUUAUGCACUUAAGAGGCAAGGAAGGACCCUUUACGGAUUUGGGGGUUAGGGUUUGGUAGUUUUUUUAUUUUUUAUUUGAGCUUUGAUGGUGUAAUUCUCUGUUACUAAUUCAAGGAAUAGAAAUUUGCUUAUUCUCUUCGUCAUCUACACUCUUUGCUUAUUCAAUUUAAUUUCCUAUUAUUAUCAUCUGGGUAUGUUACGAAAGUUAUUUUAACUUGAAAAAAAGAAGAUUUUUGAUAGGAUUAUUUGAACGUUUCGUUGUUGCUGCAUAAGGAUUUGUUCGAGUGUUCAUUGCUUUUGUCAAUUGAUUUGUUGUGGCAAUGUUGAAUGUGUCUAAAAAUGGGCUAUUUUUCUUUUCUCUGUAAGUUGUGAUUGCUGGUAAAAUGGGUAGGAAUCUUUACCGUUUUGGAGGUUAGAUUUGUGAAAUUAGAGUUCUAGAUCGGUAUAUUUUGUUUGCAUAGUGUUUGAGGAUUAACAGUUCUCUAAUUGAACUUUGGUCAUGAAAAUAGUAAAUUCUUCAUCAACUGCUUUAUGUAAUGAUUUUGUUCUUUUGCCUUUUCAAGAUAUUGUGGUUGUUAACAAACAUCCCCUUCACUCGAUUGGCUAAUGAAAGUCAAAUCGGACAGCUUGUUUUGAUUGGUGCACCAAUAUAUCAGUCGGCUCAUCAGAAUCAUAGACGUGAUAUACACCAUGGGAAUUAUACAUUUACAAAUAAUUCAGUAUUCUAGUUUGCCUGACCAUGUUUGCUUCUCACCAGAUUUUGGUCUAGAAAAUAUGUUCUGUGCCUUUUUAAUUGUCCAAUUUUGUAUUUUAUUUGUAGUUUUCAACCAUGAAGCAAAAACAAUAGAGUAUUUUUUUUGUACCUAUUUAUUUAGAGCGUUAAUAUUUUUGAAAAGGCUAUAUGUAAAUUGAGAGUAAAUGGCUAAAAACAUCCCUUAACUAUAACUCAAAGCUACAUUUUUGUGUCAUUACAUUGAAAAAAAGCAUCCUUCAACUAUAUGAAAAACUGCAAGCUAGAAGCACACGAUUUUCUAAUAAAUGCAAACAAUUUUGCCCACUCAAUGAUCUUCUCUAUCAACUAGUAAACUAGUAAUUAGGUAUUCUAUGGCUAGCAUUAUUGUAGGAAUAUUAAUUAAGGCCUAAAAAUUUAUAACUUGGCUUGUUCAACUUUAGUUUGUCCCUUUUUAUUUUUAUUUUAUUGAGAUUGUUAUUAUGUUGUUAGCUUUCCUAUCAAGAAUCUUAUUGAUCCCAUGCUACUCUGAGUUUGCUUUAUUUUUUCAUUUUCUAUUUGGUACGUUACUCCUCCAACAGCUUCCAUCAAAUUUCCUAUACUCUCAACUUAUUAAAUGAAAACUUUAAACAUAAAAAACAGAUAUAAAUCUUGUAGAUUUGUCUUUGGAUUUGUGUAUUAAGGAAAAAUGGUUAAAAAUACCCCUUAAUUUUCAUUUAUUUGUUGAUUUUAUUCUUUACUCCUAUUAUUAUUAUACUUGUCAUUCGCAUUUCUCUCAAAUCAUCUAAAAUUAUCCAAUUUUGAUUGAAUUGACUUAAUUUUCUCUUUUAAUCCUAAUCCACCCACUAAAUCAAAUGCAAAUUAAAACUCAAAUCCAUCUUUCUAAUCUUGUUCAUUUCCUCCUCCGUUGAAACACUAUGCUACUUUCAGCAGUUACCAAAUCACUAUUACUGACAGCUUCCUUCACUUCCCCUUUCCAAGAGAUAGCAAAAUUUAAUUUGUGAAGCUUAUGUGAAUAUACGGAAGAGGCAUAUGGGUCGAUGUAUUGUGAUUUGUGAACGUUGUAUUGUAUGGAUGGCUGAGUUUGUAUUAUUGUAAGUAUUGUUGGGUUGCAAGCAGACACGAGAGAGUUUGGAAAUAAGCACAAGGUUAAAAGAUGAGAUUAACAAAAGUGAGUUAUAUGAUUAGGUGGGUUGAAUUGAGUUAAAAAUUGGGUAAUUUAAGUAAAUUCAGGUUUUUUUUGUUGAUUUAGGGUUUUUCAUACAAUUGAUGUGUACGAGUAAUAAAUUUGUAGACGGCGAGGGUAAGCAUAACUUUAUUUCAACAGUAAGGGUAAAGUCAACUAACAUACCUUAUUUGGUACUACAUUUUUUAUGCUACACUCUCUUGUAUAUUAAGAUGUGUUACUAAUAUCGUUGAGAUUAAUCAUUUUAUUAUAUUAAAUAUGGGUUAAAUAUAAUACUUUACUCCCAUGUUUAAUAAUAGUUGUCCUAUUGAUUUUGCACGUUCUUAAAAAACUAUGAAUAUAAUGAUAAUUUUACUAUAUCAUCCUUUGAAUAUAAUAAAUUCAAUAUUGUGAAAAAUAUAAUAGAGAAAUGACUAUAAUUAAUGAUAAUAAAAUAUUAUGAACUAAGUGUAAAAUUAUACAUUGAUUUGAUAAAAUUGAUAAAUAUUAUUGAACAUAUGUAAACAACUAUUAUGGAACGGAGGAUAACUAUUUUCACCUGACUCAUAUCCUAUUGGACUGUCCAUUUAUCAGCCCUGCUAAAAGUAUUUGAGAGUUUGGACCUCCAAAAUGGCAAAGCCCAAAAAGAUAUACUCAUAAAUAAGAAGAAAUGGAAAAUGUGACUACAAAUGAAGCAUUGGACCGACUUCUCCAAAGAAAAAAUCCUUUGUGGUUUAUCCUUUUUCCUAAGAAAACCUACAUUCCUAUUCUCCUUUUUUUUUUUUUACCAAAUUGACUAAAAAUCAUCCAACAUCCUUUCAUUCAAUCUUGGAUCUAAUCACAUCUUUGAUACAUUUAUAAAAAUCUAUUUUAUUGAAGAAGAAACAUGUAGAUCUGAAGCAAUUGAAGAGUAAGGGUUUCCAUGGUCUUUUUCAAGUUAAAAUUGUUGAAUCCAAACACAAGUUAUAGCAGAUCGAUUUGCUUAUAUUCUAGGAAGUUCAUCUUUCUUAACUACUGUGAAAGCAAAUUGGGUCUUUCUUUUGGUGAAGCUUUAACUAUACACAAGGAACCAUUAUUUGGGGCUCACAAGUGUACAACUCCAAAUUUAUCUCCAAAUGUUGAAGCUGAUGGGUAUGGUUCCCUUCUUUCUAAUAUCUACUUUGUUAACCCAACUCAUAAACUGUUCUUCUUAUUGUUUAACUUUUUCUAGUUACUUAGUUUAUUAUUGUUAAUGUAGGCAUGAAUUUAAAUUUGUUGAGAAUAUUAUAAAACAAGUCCUACAAGAGGUCAACCAGACACCUCUAGAUGUUGGAGAUACUCGCGUCGAAGAUAUAAAGUUGUUAUUGCGAGAUGAUAUUGAUCAACUUCACAUGGUUGGCAUUGGUGGAAUAGGAAAAACAAAUUUGGCAUAAAUGUAUCUACAACCGAAUAUUUUGAGAAUAAUUACUUCCUUUCUGACAUUAGAUCAGAAGCGGAAGCCUAUAAUGCUCUAGUCAAGCUACAAGAGAAACUUCUUCAUCAAAUUCUCAAAACGAAGGAUAAUUUAAUUGUUCUUGAUGACGAGGAUCAUAUAAGCCAAUUAGAAUCCUUAACAAGAGAAAGAAGUUGGUUUGGUUCGGGUUGUUUAAUUAUCAUUACAAUCCAACACAAACAUUUGAUAUGUGGGCUCAGAGCAAAGACUAAUUGGUUGUUGGAUAUUCUAAAUUUUUUAAGAAAUCUUGGAUUUCAAGGAAAGAAGAGUUGAUAUUGGGAGAAGUAGUGAUGAAGCAGAAUGAAAACUCCCACAACAAAGAGAGAUUGCAACUUCUACCCAUAGCUAUAAGAGGCAAGUUCUCCAUUUCUCUUCUUAGCUAAAACAUGAAAGUAUGAGGCAUAUACAUUUUGUUAGUUAUUUGAUCAAUUUAUAUCACAUUAUUUUUUAAAAGAUUUGAUAGAGCAGGUUAGGGGGGCUUUGAACAUCCGUUGCUGGCCAUCCCUACAAGAAAUGCUAAGCUAGUUAUAAAGUAUGUCAUAUAAAGACGGUGCAGCAAGUUGUUAUUGUUAUACUAACUGAAAUCACAAGACUUUUGGUGUAAAAGUUGAUGCUAAUGCCUUUUAAAUAAAUCAUGCUUCUGAUUGAUAUACUUGCUGCGUUUUAAAAUAGUUACUAAUGUUUAGCUGCCCAGUUUGUGUUGAGAGAGAAUUGCGAAAAGGCUCAUUCCAAAGAGUGAAAGAGAACCCGCCUUGCUUAGCAACCAAAGGAUUAAAAAUAACUAUUUGCAAAGUUAACCAUAUAUAAUAAAAGUAUAGCAGUGUAGCCAAGCCCAAAAAGACAUAAAUGAAGAAUGUGACUACAAAUGAGGAGAUAUGUAGCAUUGACUUGAGAAAUAUCUUGGUGUAGGAUUGCAAAUUUCUUGUCACAAAAUGAAGUUUCCUUGAAGAAAUCACAAUUCACUGUGUUCAUUUAUUCAAGGAGAAUCAUCUAAAUCCCAGUUCUCUUUCAGUUAACAAAUUGACUUAAAAUCAUCCAACCUUCAUUAAUUUUUACAUCCAUGGACACUAUUUUUUUAAGGAGAAUCAUCUACAUCUUCUCACUUCUCUUAUGAUGUAUUUCUGAGUUUCAGGGGUAAGGCAAAGUGGGAAAGCAAAGUUGACUUCGGGUGAGGCCUCCCAACACACUUGCAGCCAAUGGUAAACCUUGACACAUUUCAACCGUUCUAUUCCCCAUGCUUACUAAUCCCUCUGGAACCUGCCCAUCAUCAAAUGCUCUUUGUUUGAAAAUGGACCAACAAUGAUCUUCUAAUUUUCCCAACAUAUGAAGAUCUACUGCUACUAGGGAUGCUAUCCAUUUCAUACGAGUUGUCACGAGAAUGCAGUUUCCUAUGGAUGGAUGUAUUUAUUCCUUUCAAUGAUCAGUUCAACAAAGCUCUUAGUCUUCGACAUUUCAGGUAGACACAAAAAAACUCUCUUUUCAAAGUGUUUCUUGAUAUGUUCAUCAUUGAAAAUUCUCUUAGCUAUGAGAAUGGUGCAAUCUGGAUGCUUUGGUGAAGCUUUGUCUGUAUACAAGGAACGAUUAUCUUGGGCUCAAAAAAUGGAGAAGCGGAUAACUACACUUAGAGAACCUCCAAAUUUAUCUGGAUGGGAUUUGCAAAAUGUUGCUAAUAGGUAUGAUUUCUCAGUCUUUUCUACUUUGUGAAGCAAACUCAUAAAAAAUUACUCUGAAUGAAUAUUCUAUAGCUUCAAUGUGCAUUUUUAAACUAUUAAAAUGCUAAUUCAAUCACAACAAGCCUAAUAAACUAAAGUGUUGGGCUUUUAUUGUUACGAUUUUUGUUUUUGUUUUUAAUUAUUAUUCCUUUUUUCCCUAACAAUUUGUAGGUGUGAAUUUAAAUUUAUGGAGAAUAUCAUAAAACAAGUCCUACAAGAGGCCAACCAGACACCUCUAGAUGUUGCUUGAAAUCCAGUUGGAGUAGAUGCUCGUAUCAACAACAUGGUUGGUAUAUAUGGCAUUGGUGGAAUAGGAAAAACAACUUUGACAAAAGGUAUCUACAAGACUACAACCAAAUAUUUUAGUAAUUUGGUUGUAGUUUGCUUCCUUUCAAAUAUUGGAUCCCGAAGCAUUUAAUGGACAAAUUUUCAAAAGUAAAGACUUCAAAGUUAACAGUGUUACUGAAGGCAUCAAACUAAUCAAAGCAAGACUCGGGUUAAAGAAGGUUCUAUUGUUCUUGAUCAGCUUUUGUGAUAUUGGAGUCGCAUUUGCAAGGAAGAUUGGUAACUAAAUGAAGACAUCAAGUCCAAAAAUUAAGAGCAAUUCCUUGUAGUGAUAUCCAAAGAUGAGCUUUUGAUGGACUUGAUGAUGAUACUCACUUUUGAAGUUUUAUUUAAUAUAAUAUGAAUAUUAUUCUGAAUAUUUUCUUGAAAAAUAAAACAUAACUCUAUUUUCAACUCUAACUCCAUAUAUUUUAAAUACAGUAAAAAAAAUAUGAUUCUAUAGUCAAACGCCUAAUAAUAAUGAUAAUCAUAACCAUGCUUUCUAUGUUCAUAAUUUCUAAAUAUUUAAUGUGUAAUUUAAUAACAAGGGUUUUAUUAUAUAUAGACACACACAUUCAAUUGUAUUCUCACUAUUUUCAUUUAUUCAAACUUAGAGUAAUUGAAUUGAUUUUUAAUAUUUUCAUUUAUUCAAACUUGGAGUAAUUGAAUUGAUUUCAAAUUAGAUUUGGGAGAAAACAAAAAAUGAGAAAAAGGGGAAAGAGAAAAAUAAGAAAGAGAAACAAAGGCCAAGAAGGAAAAUAAAACAUAGUUUGGCACAGGUCAAAAUAUAAUAUCAAUAAAACAAUAUAUCCUCAUACAACUAGUACAAGUUAUACCUUGCACAUAGUAAAUAUUUUCAUAAAUCAUGAUAGACUUAUUGAAUUUACUGCACAAUUAUCAAUGUUGUUGAUGUGUACAUAUCUGUCAUGAUACUCAUGUCACAAAAUUAGAGACAUAAAGGCAACUACCCUAACCCUCAUAGAAGGUAAGCCUCUGCGAAGACAAACAACAUAGAAUACAUGUAAAAGUAAUUCAAAUUAGAACAAUAUUUUAAAUCUCAGAAUGUUUUGUAAAUAAAGCAAUAGUACAUAAACAAAAUCACAAGGCUCAAUGUUACGUGCAUAAGAACGUUUUAUUACAAAGAAAAAUGACAAGUCUAGUACAUCAGUUGUCUAAAUAGCUAGUAAGACAAAAGUAAAAGUAAAAAGGGAAUCGGGCAGGGUCUCCGAAUGUAAGGGCUCAGCCACCUCCAACUCUUUCUGUGGGUAUCAACAACAACCACAAACGAAUCAAGAAUUAUUUGAAUCUUUGGUGUUAGGAUCGUCAUAAAAAAACAUGCACCAAUAUUAGUUUGAGAACAACAUCAAAUCAUUUAAUUUAGUACUUUUACCUAAAAUUUCUUC
rnacentral:lncRNA from 1 species